rnacentral:rRNA from 1 species
AAGAUGGCGACCGGCGCACGGGUGAGUAACACGUAUCCAACCUGCCGAUAACUCCGGAAUAGCCUUUCGAAAGAAAGAUUAAUACCGGAUAGCAUACGAAUAUCGCAUGAUAUUUUUAUUAAAGAAUUUCGAUUAUCGAUGGGGAUGCGUUCCAUUAGUUUGUUGGCGGGGUAACGGCCCACCAAGACUACGAUGGAUAGGGGUUCUGAGAGGAAAGUCCCCCACAUUGGAACUGAGACACGGUCCAAACUCCUACGGGAGGCAGCAUG